rnacentral:rRNA from 1 species
ACGUAGGUGGCAAGCGUUGUCCGGAUUUAUUGGGUUUAAAGGGUGCGUAGGUUGUUCCAUAAGUCAGUGGUGAAAUACGGCAGCUCAACUGUCGAGGUGCCAUUGAUACUGCGGAACUUGAGUACAGACGAGGUAGGCGGAAUUGACGGUGUAGCGGUGAAAUGCUUAGAUAUCGUCAAGAACACCGAUAGCGAAGGCAGCUUACUAGACUGUAACUGACACUGAGGCACGAAAGUGUGGGGAUCAAACAGGAUUAGAUACCCUGGUAGUCCACACUGUAAACGAUGAUUACUCGAUGUUGGCGAUACACAGCCAGCGUCUUAGCGAAAGCGAUAAGUAAUCCACCUGGGGAGUACGCCCGCAAGGGUG